GAAAUGCGAUAAGUAAUGUGAAUUGCAGAAUUCAGUGAAUCAUCGAAUCUUUGAACGCACAUUGCGCCCGCCAGUAUUCUGGCGGGCAUGCCUGUUCGAGCGUCAUUUCAACCAUCAAGCCCCCGGCUUGUGUUGGGGACCUACGGCUGCCCGCAGGCCCUGAAAAACAGUGGCGGGCUCGCUGUCACACCGAGCGUAGUAGCAUACAUUCUCGCUCAGGGCGUGCUGCGGGUUCCGGCCGUUAAACGACCUUCAUAACCCAAGGUUGACCUCGGAUCAGGUAGGAAGACCCGCUGAACUUAAGC
rnacentral:misc_RNA from 1 species